CUACGGGUGGCACCAGUGAGGAAUAUUGCACAAUGGGGGGAACCCUGAUGCAGCAACGCCGCGUGGAGGAUGACGCAUUUCGGUGUGUGGACUCCUUUUAUAUGUCAAGAAAAUGACGGUAGCAUAUGAAUAAGCACCGGCUAACUCCGUGCCAGCAGCCGCGGUAAUACGGAGGGUGCAAGCGUUACUCGGAAUCACUGGGCGUAAAGGACGCGUAGGCGGGUUGGAAAGUCAGGUGUGAAAUCCUACAGCUUAACUGUAGAACUGCACUUGAAACUUCUAAUCUAGAGUAUGGGAGGGGGAGAUGGAAUUAGUGGUGUAGGGGUAAAAUCCGUAGAUAUCACUAGGAAUACCUAAAGCGAAGGCGAUCUCCUGGAACAUUACUGACGCUAAGGCGUGAAAGCGUGGGGAGCAAACAGGAUUAGAUACCCCUGUAGUC
rnacentral:rRNA from 1 species